rnacentral:rRNA from 1 species
GUUGAGCGCUGAAGGUUGGUACUUGUACCGACUGGAUGAGCAGCGAACGGGUGAGUAACGCGUGGGGAAUCUGCCUUUGAGCGGGGGACAACAUUUGGAAACGAAUGCUAAUACCGCAUAAAAACUUUAAACACAAGUUUUAAGUUUGAAAGAUGCAAUUGCAUCACUCAAAGAUGAUCCCGCGUUGUAUUAGCUAGUUGGUGAGGUAAAGGCUCACCAAGGCGAUGAUACAUAGCCGACCUGAGAGGGUGAUCGGCCACAUUGGGACUGAGACACGGCCCAAACUCCUACGGGAGGCAGCAGUAGGGAAUCUUCGGCAAUGGACGAGAGUCUGACCGAGCAACGCCGCGUGAGUGAAGAAGGUUUUCGGAUCGUAAAACUCUGUUGGUAGAGAAGAACGUUGGUGAGAGUGGAAAGCUCAUCAAGUGACGGUAACUACCCAGAAAGGGACGGCUAACUACGUGCCAGCAGCCGCGGUAAUACGUAGGUCCCGAGCGUUGUCCGGAUUUAUUGGGCGUAAAGCGAGCGCAGGUGGUUUAUUAAGUCUGGUGUAAAAGGCAGUGGCUCAACCAUUGUAUGCAUUGGGAACUGGUAGACUUGAGUGCAGGAGAGGAGAGUGGAAUUCCAUGUGUAGCGGUGAAAUGCGUAGAUAUAUGGAGGAACACCGGUGGCGAAAGCGGCUCUCUGGCCUGUAACUGACACUGAGGCUCGAAAGCGUGGGGAGCAAACAGGAUUAGAUACCCUGGUAGU